rnacentral:rRNA from 1 species
AGAGUUUGAUCCUGGCUCAGGACGAACGCUGGCGGCGUGCCUAACACAUGCAAGUCGAGCGGAGACAGUGAGUAGCUUGCUAUGAGCUGUUUUAGCGGCGGACGGGUGAGUAACGCGUGAGCAACCUUUCCCAGACAGGGGAAUAACACACCGAAAGGUGUACUAAUACCGCAUAAGACCACGGAAUCACAUGGUUCUGGGGUAAAAGAUUUAUCGGUUUGGGGUGGGCUCGCGUCCGAUUAGGUAGUUGGUGAGGUAACGGCCCACCAAGCCGACGAUCGGUAGCCGACCUGAGAGGGUGAUCGGCCACAUUGGGACUGAGACACGGCCCAAACUCCUACGGGAGGCAGCAGUGGGGAAUAUUGGGCAAUGGGGGGAACCCUGACCCAGCAACGCCGCGUGGAGGAAGAAGGUUUUCGGAUCGUAAACUCCUGUCCUUGGAGACGAGUAGAAGACGGUAUCCAAGGAGGAAGCCCCGGCUAACUACGUGCCAGCAGCCGCGGUAAUACGUAGGGGGCAAGCGUUGUCCGGAAUAAUUGGGCGUAAAGGGCGCGUAGGCGGCUCGGUAAGUCUGGAGUGAAAGUCCUGCUUUUAAGGUGGGAAUUGCUUUGGAUACUGUCGGGCUUGAGUGCAGGAGAGGUUAGUGGAAUUCCCAGUGUAGCGGUGAAAUGCGUAGAGAUUGGGAGGAACACCAGUGGCGAAGGCGACUAACUGGACUGUAACUGACGCUGAGGCGCGAAAGUGUGGGGAGCAAACAGGAUUAGAUACCCUGGUAGUCCACACUGUAAACGAUGAAUGCUAGGUGUAGGGGGUAUCGACCCCUUCUGUGCCGCAGUCAACACAAUAAGCAUUCCGCCUGGGGAGUACGGCCGCAAGGUUGAAACUCAAAGGAAUUGACGGGGGCCCGCACAAGCAGCGGAGCAUGUGGUUUAAUUCGACGCAACGCGAAGAACCUUACCAGGUCUUGACAUCCACUUAAACUUACAGAGAUGUAAGGUGUGCUUGCACAAAGUGAGACAGGUGGUGCAUGGUUGUCGUCAGCUCGUGUCGUGAGAUGUUGGGUUAAGUCCCGCAACGAGCGCAACCCUU